AUGAAAUGGGGUGCAAUAUCUACCUGUAUCAAUGCUCUUACCCUUUCUAAAGUGGGUGAUUAUGUCUAUUGGGGGCUUUACAAGGGUCCUAUUGCUGGAUGUAACUACAAAUGGGUUUGGAGUGCUAAGAUGUGUUUGAAAAUUCAAAUUUUCCUUUGGUAGAUGUUUCAGAAUGUUGUUCUCACUAGGCAGAUUAUGAAAAACAGAAACUGGCCUGGCAAUCCACAUUGCUCCUUCUGUAGCAACAUUGAAACUGCUCAACACUUGUUCUUUACUUGUCCAGUGGCUAGGAUUAUUUGGAGAUCUGUGGGAGUGAUCCUUGGGACUGACCUAUUCCCAAACAAUCAUUGGCAAUUUUAUUCCUGGUGUUCAUCCUUUAUACCCCAUGGUGAACGUUUCAAUACUAUGGGGCUUGUUGCUAUAAUCUGGUGA
rnacentral:rRNA from 1 species